CCCCUCUCAGGGUGGCAUCUGGAGAGUUUCCAGUACUUUACCAGUCUCGACUAAGGGAGGGAGAGUCAAGCAGAGGAAUAGCCAUUGCAUUCCUAGCUUGGGCGGUGGUUAGCGAGUGGAAGGCAAUCCGCUACAAAC